AUCUUCUCCUCAAGCAGACCUUUGUCGUUUCUCUUCUCCUCUCCGCUACCCAAAUCAAAUCCCUAAUUUAAGCCAUCAAACCACCUCAAGCUUCGGCUACAGCUCUUACCAAGAGUCCACAAGACAAAUCGCUGCGGCUUCUACCAAGAACCCACAAGCUACAGCCGACAGCUUCAAGGCUUCAAGCUGCAGCAGCCAUUGCUUCGGUAAGAAUAUCAAGCUACGAAAUCCUCUGUUGCCGUCGGAUUUUGGCCUUUUCAAGCUUCAAAGCUUGAAGCUCCAGCACCCGUUCUUCUCCAAUUUUCGUGCUACCAGCCUGCCACCACACUGAAGCUCAAGCACCAGUACUUCAAUUAAAAUCACAUAAUCAUCAUGCUGCUCCAAAACACAUCUCACAACUUUGUCGGGCACAAACAGAUACAUAAUCAAAGGUCGACCUGGAUUGGAUGGCACUAAGACUGGGAGAUGCAACAAGUACGGGAUUUGAAAGUCAAAUGGGAUAACAAGACACCAUGAUGAUUCUGGCAUUGAGCUGCUUUUCGAUUUGUUCUUUGAUUUUGAGACUCAUAUCUGGCUUAAAUUUGCGCGAUUUUUGCUUCGCUGGCAAAAAAUUCGGAUCAGUCGGUAAUUGAUGGACCGCUAUGUCUGUUGAAAUUUCAAGUAUAUCAUUAUAGGAUCAAAUAAACACAUCUUGG